AAACUUACCUGACGCCAGUAUCAGGGUGAUCAGCAAGGCUCUGACCCCAGGCGGAGGCUCAGCAUUGCACUCCUCUGUGUUGAAGCCUACGAGUGACUAAUCGGGUUCGCUGGGAUGCAUAGUUUAUGUCAGCGGGCAGUCUUUAGGCGUGGUUGU
rnacentral:snRNA from 12 species